rnacentral:rRNA from 1 species
GACGAACGCUGGCGGCGUGCUUAACACAUGCAAGUCGAACGGAAAGGCCCUGCUUUUGUGGGGUGCUCGAGUGGCGAACGGGUGAGUAACACGUGAGUAACCUGCCCUUGACUUUGGGAUAACUUAAGGAAACUGGGGCUAAUACCGGAUAGGAGCUCCUGCUGCAUGGUGGGGGUUGGAAAGUUUCGGCGGUUGGGGAUGGACUCGCGGCUUAUCAGCUUGUUGGUGGGGUAGUGGAUUACCAAGGCUUUGACGGGUAGCCGGCCUGAGAGGGUGACCGGCCACAUUGGGACUGAGAUACGGCCCAGACUCCUACGGUAGGCAGCAGUGGGGAAUAUUGCACAAUGGGCGGAAGCCUGAUGCAGCAACGCCGCGUGCGGGAUGACGGCCUUCGGGUUGUAAACCGCUUUCGCCUGUGACGAAGCGUGAGUGACGGUAAUGGGUAAAGAAGCACCGGCUAACUACGUG